CCAGACUCCUACGGGAGGCAGCAGUGGGGAAUAUUGGACAAUGGACCGAGAGUCUGAUCCAGCAAUUCUGUGUGCACGAUGAAGUUUUUCGGAAUGUAAAGUGCUUUCAGUUGGGAAGAAAUAAAUGACGGUACCAACAGAAGAAGCGACGGCUAAAUACGUGCCAGCAGCCGCGGUAAUACGUAUGUCGCGAGCGUUAUCCGGAAUUAUUGGGCAUAAAGGGCAUCUAGGCGGCCUGACAAGUCAGGGGUGAAAACCUGCGGCUCAACCGCAGGCCUGCCUUUGAAACUGUGAGGCUGGAGUACCGGAGAGGUGGACGGAACUGCACGAGUAGAGGUGAAAUUCGUAGAUAUGUGCAGGAAUGCCGAUGAUGAAGAUAGUUCACUGGACGGUAACUGACGCUGAAGUGCGAAAGCCGGGGGAGCAAACAGGAUUAGAUACCCUGGUAGUCCCGGCUGUAAACGAUGAUUACUGGGUGUGGGCAGGAAGACUGUCUGUGCCGAAGCGAAUGCGAUAAGUAAUCCGCCUGGGGAGUACGGCCGCAAGGCUGAGACUC
rnacentral:rRNA from 1 species